rnacentral:rRNA from 1 species
GGUGAACGCUGGCGGCGUGCUUAAGACAUGCAAGUCGAACGGCAGUCUUCGGACUGUAGUGGCGCACGGGUGAGUAACGCGUAACUGACCUACCCCAAAGUCGCGGAUAACGAUUCGAAAGAAUCGCUAAUACGUGAUGUGCUGUCAGAUUGUGUUCUUCCAGUAAAGUUUGAUUGCUUUGGGAUGGGGUUGCGUGCCAUCAGCUAGUUGGUGGGGUAAAGGCCCACAAAGGCGACGAAGGAUAGCCUGCCUGAGAGGGUGGCCGGCCACAGGGGCACAGAGACACGGGGCCAACUCCUACGGGAGGCAGCAGUGAGGAAUCUGCCACAAUGGGCGAAAGCCUGAUGGAGCGACGCCGCGUGAGGGAUGAAGGUCUUCGGAUCGUAAACCUCUGAAUCAGGGACGAAAGACACUUCGGUGGGAUGACGGUACCUGAGUAAUAGCACCGGCUAACUCCGUGCCAGCCGCCGCCGUAACAC